AUGGCUUCUGCUCCCUCUCAUUGCACCGAGCUCGCCAAGCUCUGUAGCUCCAAGGACUGGUCCAAGGCAAUUCGAAUCCUCGAUUCACUCGUUUCUCAGUCUGCUGCUGUUCAAGACAUCUGUAACCGAGCCUUCUGUUAUAGCCAAUUGGAACUGCAUAAGCAUGUGAUUAAGGAUUGCGAUAGAGCGAUUCAGCUUAACUCCUUGCAUCUUCAAGCUUACAUUCUGAAAGGUUUCUUCUCAGUUGUUAAUUGA